rnacentral:rRNA from 1 species
UACGGAGGGUGCAAGCGUUAUCCGGAUUCACUGGGUUUAAAGGGUGCGUAGGUGGGCUGGUAAGUCAGUGGUGAAAUCUCCAGGCUUAACUUGGAAACUGCCAUUGAUACUAUCAGUCUUGAAUACCGUGGAGGUCAGCGGAAUAUGUCAUGUAGCGGUGAAAUGCUUAGAUAUGACAUAGAACACCAAUUGCGAAGGCAGCUGGCUACACGAAUAUUGACACUGAUGCACGAAAGCGUGGGAUCAAACAGGA